AUUUAAGAUAGAGGUGCAAAAUUUAUAAGUAAAGUUUUGGAGGCAAGCACAAUGAAGGGACUUAAAAGGAAAUUUUGCCGAAGUGUUCAACAGAUGCUUUGAUGUUGAAUUAACUGGUUUUGUAUAAAAUAUAUACAAGACUGUCACAAAUAUAAUUUGUGAAGAGCUAUCAUUCAU
rnacentral:ncRNA from 2 species